CCUACGGGUGGCAGCAGUGAGGAAUAUUGCACAAUGGGGGCAACCCUGAUGCAGCGACGCCGCGUGCGCGAUGAAGUCUUUCGGUAUGUAAAGCUCUAUCAGCAGGGGAGAAAAUGACGGUACCUGACUAAGAAGCCCCGGCUAACUACGUGCCAGCAGCCGCGGUAAUACGUAGGGGGCAAGCGUUAUCCGGAUUUACUGGGUGUAAAGGGAGCGUAGACGGCUGUGCAAGCCAGAUGUGAAAGCCCGGGGCUCAACCCCGGGACUGCAGUUGGAACUGUGUGGCUGGAGUGUCGGAGAGGCAGGCGGAAUUCCUAGUGUAGCGGUGAAAUGCGUAGAUAUUAGGAGGAACACCAGUGGCGAAGGCGGCCUGCUGGACGAUGACUGACGUUGAGGCUCGAAAGCGUGGGGAGCAAACAGGAUUAGAUACCCCGGUAGUC
rnacentral:rRNA from 1 species